ACUCAACAUUACUUCUUUAAAAAGGGUGAGUUUAAGCUGUAAAAGCGAGCUGCUAGUGCUGAUUUUUGUCAGUAUCUCGAGCAGAUACUUGAUCAGUUUGUUAGCCCUAAACUUGUUUUAAGGAGUUU
rnacentral:sRNA from 1 species